rnacentral:rRNA from 1 species
GACGAACGCUGGCGGCGUGCUUAACACAUGCAAGUCGAACGGAAAGGCCCUGGAUUCGUGCGUUGCCCGAGUGCCGAACGGGCGAGUAACACGUGAGUAUCUUGCCCUUGACUUUGGGAUAACUUCAGGAAACCGGGGCUAAGACUGGUAAGGAGUUCCUGCUGCUUGGGGGGGGUAGGAAAGUUUCGGCGGUUGGGGAUGGACGCGUGGCUAUUCAUCUGGUUGGUCGGGUAGUGGCUUACCAAGGCUUUGACGGGAAGCCGGCCUGAGAUUGUGACCGGGCACAGUGGGACUGAGAUACGGCACAGACUCGUGCGGGAGGCAGCAGUGGGGAAUGUUGCACGAUGGGCGGAAGCCGGAUGCAGCAACGCCGCGUGCUGGAUGACAGCCUUCGGGUUGUAGACCGCUAUCGCCUGUGACGAAGCGUGAGUGACGGUAAUGGGUGAAGAAGCACCGGCUAACUACGUG